UUCGGCCAUACCAUGCUGAAAACAGCGGAUCUCGUCCGAACACCGAAGUUAAGCAUCAACGGGCUCGGUCAGUACUUGGGAGGGUGCCCACCUGGGAACACCGCGUGCCGUAGG